rnacentral:rRNA from 1 species
GAUUAACGCUGGCGGCGUGCAUAACACAUGCAAGUCGAACGAUGAAACUUUAAUGAACCCUUCGGGGAGAAUUAAAGCGGAUUAGUGGCGAACGGGUGAGUAACGCGUGAGUAACCUGCCUUACACAAGGGGAUAGCCUUUGGAAACGAAGAAUAAUACCCUAUAGCACCAUAAAAGCACAUGCAAUUAUGGUCAAAGUGAUAGCGGUGUAAGAUGGACUUGCGUCUGAUUAGCUAGUUGGUGAGAUAAAAGCCCACCAAGGCAACGAUCAGUAGCCGGCUUGAGAGAGUGUACGGCCACAUUGGGACUGAGACACGGCCCAGACUCCUACGGGAGGCAGCAGUGGGGAAUUUUGCACAAUGGGGGAAACCCUGAUGCAGCGACGCCGCGUGAUUUAGAAGGCCUUCGGGUUGUAAAAAUCUUUUGUAUAGGAAGAAAAUGACAGUACUAUACGAAUAAGGUCCGGCUAAUUACGUG